rnacentral:rRNA from 1 species
CAAUAGCGUAUAUUAAAGUUGUUGCGGUUAAAAAGCUCGUAGUUGGAUUUCUGCUGAGAACGACCGGUCCGCCCUUUGGGUGUGUAUCUGGCUCUUUCUUGGCAUCUUCUUGGUGAACGUUGCUGCACUUGACUGUGUGGAGCGCUACCCAGGACUUUUACUUUGAGGAAAUUAGAGUGUUUCAAGCAGGCAUACGCCUUGAAUACAUUAGCAUGGAAUAAUAAGAUAGGACCUCGGUUCUAUUUUGUUGGUUUCUAGAGCUGAGGUAAUGAUUAAUAGGGAUAGUUGGGGGCAUUCGUAUUUAACUGUCAGAGGUGAAAUUCUUGGAUCUGUUAAAGACGGACUACUGCGAAAGCAUUUGCCAAGGAUGUUUUCAUUGA